rnacentral:rRNA from 1 species
UACGUAGGGGGCUAGCGUUGUCCGGAAUCAUUGGGCGUAAAGCGCGUGUAGGCGGCCCGGUAAGUCCGCUGUGAAAGUCGAGGGCUCAACCCUCGAAUGCCGGUGGAUACUGUCGGGCUAGAGUACGGAAGAGGCGAGUGGAAUUCCUGGUGUAGCGGUGAAAUGCGCAGAUAUCAGGAGGAACACCCAUUGCGAAGGCAGCUCGCUGGGACGUUACUGACGCUGAGACGCGAAAGCGUGGGGAGCAAACGGG